rnacentral:rRNA from 1 species
AUGUGGCGGGUGGAGGAGCUCAGGUGGUGGUCGGAGUUGAGGGGUCGAAGAUUUCAACCCCACGAACAGGUGGCUCAGGACGGUGGACUUGCCUGGGAGGAUCGCUUUCAUGAGCCUGCCUCGUUCAUGGGGACAAUCUCCGAGGCAGGGCCACGAGGAGGGGUCCGGGAGCUAUUGCACUUCUACCAGCAGAUUAAGGACAAUGAGGACCUCGCCAUGCUUGUCGUCCCUCACAAGUUCGUGGAGGUGAUGAACACCUGGUUGGUCAUCAAGCGGCUCCCGUGCGUGGUCAGGCUGUCGGCGAACAAAGCAGUGCGUGUUCUGGGUGCAGGUCCAGAACUUCGAGGGGCACAUGGUGCUUGGACGGGGCUGGAACUACUUCUGCCGCCACCAUCGGAUCGUCCCCGCGACCUCGUCGUUGUGCGCAUCUCAGGACUCGGCCUCAAGGUCCAAAUCUACAACCACGACUCCUCAGUCAUGUGCAGGUUUCAUUGCAGCAGGCACAAUUGCGUUGGUGACAUUGAGCAUGCAAUGAAGUAUCUUUUAUGGUGUUAG